GUAGGGAAUAUUGGGCAAUGGAGGCAACUCUGACCCAGCCAUGCCGCGUGCAGGAUGACGGCCCUCUGGGUUGUAAACUGCUUUUAUACGGGAAGAAAAAAUACUACGUGUAGUAUACUGACGGUACCGUAAGAAUAAGGAUCGGCUAACUCCGUGCCAGCAGCCGCGGUAAUACGGAGGAUCCAAGCGUUGUCCGGAUUUAUUGGGUUUAAAGGGUGCGUAGGCGGAUCUUUAAGUCAGUGGUGAAAGCCUGCAGCUUAACUGUAGAAUUGCCAUUGAAACUGAAGAUCUUGAAUGUGGUGAAAGUAGGCGGAAUGUAUCAUGUAGCGGUGAAAUGCUUAGAUAUGAUACAGAACACCGAUAGCGAAGGCAGCUUGCUGAACCAUUAUUGACGCUGAGGCACGAAAGCGUGGGGAGCGAACAGGAUUAGAAACCCGAGUAGUCC
rnacentral:rRNA from 1 species